AUUGAACGCUGGCGGAAUGCUUUACACAUGCAAGUCGAGCGGCAGCACGGGGGCAACCCUGGUGGCGAGCGGCGAACGGGUGAGUAAUACAUCGGAACAUGCCCAGUCGUGGGGGAUAACACUUCGAAAGGAGUGCUAAUACCGCAUACGUCCUGAGGGAGAAAGCGGGGGAUCUUCGGACCUCGCGCGAUUGGAGUGGCCGAUGUCAGAUUAGCUAGUUGGUGGGGUAAAGGCCUACCAAGGCAACGAUCUGUAGCUGGUCUGAGAGGAUGAUCAGCCACACUGGGACUGAGACACGGCCCAGACGCCUACGGGAGGCAGCAGUGGGGAAUUUUGGACAAUGGGGGCAACCCUGAUCCAGCCAUUCCGCGUGAGUGAAGAAGGCCUUCGGGUUGUAAAGCUCUUUCGGCAGGAACGAAACGGCGAGCUCUAACAUAGCUUGCUAAUGACGGUACCUGAAGAAGAAGCACCGGCUAACUACGUGCCAGCAGCCGCCGUAAAAC
rnacentral:rRNA from 1 species